rnacentral:tRNA from 1 species
UCCUUUAUCAUGGCUCAUUGGUAGAGCAUCUGCUUGGCAUGCAAAAGGUUCCGGGUUCGAAUCCUGCAUUUCCAGUGGAAAGGAU